AUUUUACAAAGACCCUCUCUAGCCGGAGGUUCUCAGUGUGUAAAGAUACACCGGGAAAUGUCGCCUGGUUUUCGGUGUGAGGGGCUGUACGGGAAUGUGGGUUCAUUCAGGAACUGCAAAUACUUGAAAGCAGCAGAAUAAAUGAUGUGAUUCUACAACACAAGGGGAAGUGCAGUCAGCUCCUCACACACAGCAAAUAAUGGAAGGAACCAGAAUAAACGUGGUGUUUCCUCCAGCCAAGCUCGAAUGAAGAUUCCCGCCAGCUCCUCCGACACAGUCCGUACAUUAUCACUGACAGAGCGCAGAGACACAGACAGGUCAUCAAUUUCACAGUCUCAGACAGCAGAAAUAGUUCCAGAGUCACACUUUCCAUCCAUCAAUCAAACAGUGCAGGAGAGAUAGAUGUUGUUCCAAUGUUACCUCGACUCAGUACCACAGACGGGUAGUCCAAAUUCUCACGCAUGAUCCAAUUUUCACCAGGUCAAUCCCACAAUAUUACAGCCUCAGCUACAAACUAAAUGUCAAAUAAAACUGAUGCAUGUUUCCAGUUUCAAGUUUCCAGUCUUAACCUUAAUAAUGUACACUGAGAUUCAUGUUAAGCACCGGUGCAAUAUUUACACACAUCAUUAGUUUAUAAAUUGCAGUAUUAAUUCCCACAUUGUGUCCUGACACAUACAUUAGAUGCAAAUCCAAAUCUCAAUUACAUUAUCAGUUUGAGAUAUUCUGAAAGUGAGUAUAACCUGAGAUACAAACUCAGACUCUAGUUAAAACUCACCCUGAUUAUGAAACUGAGAUACAAUAUUAAUUUGAUGGAUAUGAAUUGAGCUAUAAACUACAUGCUAAUUCUCAAUCCUCACACAGUGUCAAAUUAAAGAUACUUUACCAAUUCA